rnacentral:rRNA from 1 species
CUACGGGGUGCUCCAGUGGGGGAUAUUGCACAAUGGGCGAAAGCCUGAUGCAGCAACGCCGCGUGAAGGAUGACGGAUUUCGGUCUGUAAACUUCUAUCAGCAGGGAAGAAAAUGACGGUACCUGACUAAGAAGCCCCGGCUAACUACGUGCCAGCAGCCGCGGUAAUACGUAGGGGGCAAGCGUUAUCCGGAAUUACUGGGUGUAAAGGGUACGUAGGCGGCUGAUCAAGUCAGAUGUGAAAGCCCGGAGCUCAACUCCGGGAUUGCAUUUGAAACUGGUCGGCUAGAGUGCAGGAGAGGAAAGUGGAAUUCCUAGUGUAGCGGUGAAAUGCGUAGAUAUUAGGAAGAACACCAGUGGCGAAGGCGGCUUUCUGGACUGUAACUGACGCUGAGGUACGAAAGCGUGGGGAGCGAACAGGAUUAGAUACCCGCGUAGUC